GCCAGCAGGGCUUUAUGGGCAGAUGCCCCCAGUCCUGGGCUGAGCGCGCAGCUACGACUGCUCCUGCCUCAAAUCCUUUGGGUUCUGAUGCAGACACAGAGCACCCGGCUGUCCUUCAUACUUAACAGGCGCCGUCGCGGAUCCUCAACGUGUGACGCCGGGCCCUCCUCGCGCCGGGCAGCGCCACAGCGGUGCUUCCGACCGGACGUGUCACUAUGCAAUCUUCAGGAGGAGCGCUGGGAUCAGAGAACCGAUGUCAGCAGGAGCAGCUCCUGGGGCUGGGCGCUCUCCUUCUGCGAUUGUGCAGAUUGUGAAGCGCUCCAUUCAGAGCCAGCAAACACGCUCCGCUGUGCGCAGCGGCAGGGAGAAGUCACAAACAGGAGCGAGAACUGAUAGCAAACCCCCGGAGCAGCACGGAGCAGGGAGCACCUGCCUGACUUGUCAGCUUGCAGAGCUGCCUCCUGCACGCACCUCAGCACCAGAGCUCAGCACGGGAGGGCUGCUCUGCUCCGGACCCACAGGGUUGCUGGAGCCGCUGGCAGCUCCGCAGCGGCUGCGUUGGGGGGCUGUGUGUGCAGAGCGGUGAGCGCACGCUGCGCUUCGGAGGGUGUAGAAUACUGGUGGGUUGGAUGUAAAUAUUGCACCCGGAUUUUACCUAAAGCAGUUUGUGAUCCUUUAAGGAAGAGGACGUGCUUCUACUUUUAAUAAAUGUUAACUCUUUGCAUACGCAAGGUGGAAAGUGUUGCCUUGAAAUGCCUACGUUUCUGCCUGCCUAUCGGUGAUGUUAAUGUUAGUGGCUAGGAGCAACCAGAAGUGAAUGUUACUUAGAAACUCUUCUUAAAGAAAAACAUUAACAUGGAAUGUAUGACACCCCUCAUUGCUAAGAUAGGCCAUUUUCAGUGGCGUUACUCUAAGGCUCACUUUUUUUUAGGUGGGUGCGGAUUUAACUUUGCUGAGACGUGUGUGUUUUAAGAAACCAUCCUUUUUAGCCUCCCUUCAUCCCAACCACCGUGGUUUUACAGUUUCUAUCUCAGAGACUUAUGCAAUAUAAGAGCUCUUCACCUUCCCCCAGCUGAGGCCAAUGGCACAUUCAGUGAGCUCUGAGCAUUCUGCAAACACGCAGCCGGUGCUGCUAACCGAUACAAAGAGCACUGGAAGCAUUAGAGUGCGGAUGAUACAUGGCAUUCAUGCAGAAAGCAUCUCCUCAGUGCUUUAGGUGAGAAGCUGAUGUUCCCAGCAGCGUUGGGCUGGGGGGGUUGGUUGGCGUUGGCCCCCAGCCUUUGUUUUUGGCCCCGGGCCGUACGGUAACAGCAGUGCCGUAACUUUGCCAAAACCAUUUUUCAGGAGACUCAUUUUCCAAGGAAUGCACCCAAAGCGUUCGAACUCUGCCGAAGGUUUUGCAUGGCACGCGUUUCUAAGGAGAAACCCAUCUGCUCGAGUAAUCUCUUUGUAAUGUUUUUAGCUGUUUCGUUCCGUUUUGGUUCAUUUCAAUCCUGGAUUUUAUUAUCAGAAAAGCAGAAAAAUAAAAAAAAGGAUGCUUUGCCUAUCCCGCCUGUCUUGUGAACUCAGCCCAUUUCUGAAGACAUCAACCUGGCUGUAAGCAAACUGGGAAUACGAGCUCGUAUUUUAUCAAAGGGAAUGGAUUUGAUUUAAUAAAUUAAGACGUAUUUUGG
rnacentral:lncRNA from 1 species